UACGUAGGUGGCGAGCGUUGUCCGGAUUUACUGGGCGUAAAGGGCGUGCAGGCGGUUUGUUAAGUGCAGGGUGAAAGCUCCCGGCUCAACUGGGAGAGGUCCUUGCAUACUGGCGAACUCGAGGGAGGCAGAGGAAAGUGGAAUUCCCGGUGUAGUGGUGAUAUGCGUAGAUAUCUGGAGGAACACCGGUGGCGAAGGCGACGUCCUGGACCGGCAUUGACGCUGAGGCGCGAAAGCUAGGGGAGCAAACGGG
rnacentral:rRNA from 1 species